rnacentral:tRNA from 2 species
AGCAUAAUAAAGUCUAUGUUACGGCCAUAGAAUUGGUAUUCAUUAUCUUAUGCUU